UAAUGGGUCAGCGACUUAUAUUCUGUAGCAAGGUUAACCGAAUAGGGGAGCCGGAGGGAAACCGAGUCUUAAUUGGGCGUUAAGUUGCAGGGUAUAGACCCGAAACCCGGUGAUCUAGCCAUGGGCAGGUUGAAGGUUGGGUAACACUAACUGGAGGACCGAACCGACUAAUGUUGAAAAAUUAGCGGAUGACCUGUGGCUGGGGGUGAAAGGCCAAUCAAACCGGGAGAUAGCUGGUUCUCCCCGAAAGCUAUUUAGGUAGCGCCUCGUGAACUCAUCUCCGGGGGUAGAGCACUGUUUCGGCUAGGGGGCCAUCCCGGCUUACCAACCCGAUGCAAACUGCGAAUACCGGAGAAUGUUAUCACGGGAGACACACGGCGGGUGCUAACGUCCGUCGUGAAGAGGGAAACAACCCAGACCGCCAGCUAAGGUCCCAAAGUCAUGGUUAAGUGGGAAACGAUGUGGGAAGGCCCAGACAGCCAGGAUGUUGGCUUAGAAGCAGCCAUCAUUUAAAGAAAGCGUAAUAGCUCACUGGUCGAGUCGGCCUGCGCGGAAGAUGUAACGGGGCUAAACCAUGCACCGAAGCUGCGGCAGCGACGCUUAUGCGUUGUUGGGUAGGGGAGCGUUCUGUAAGCCUGUGAAGGUGGCCUGUGAGGGUUGCUGGAGGUAUCAGAAGUGCGAAUGCUGACAUAAGUAACGAUAAAGCGGGUGAAAAGCCCGCUCGCCGGAAGACCAAGGGUUCCUGUCCAACGUUAAUCGGGGCAGGGUGAGUCGACCCCUAAGGCGAGGCCGAAAGGCGUAGUCGAUGGGAAACAGGUUAAUAUUCCUGUACUUGGUGUUACUGCGAAGGGGGGACGGAGAAGGCUAUGUUGGCCGGGCGACGGUUGUCCCGGUUUAAGCGUGUAGGCUGGUUUUCCAGGCAAAUCCGGAAAAUCAAGGCUGAGGCGUGAUGACGAGGCACUACGGUGCUGAAGCAACAAAUGCCCUGCUUCCAGGAAAAGCCUCUAAGCAUCAGGUAACACGAAAUCGUACCCCAAACCGACACAGGUGGUCAGGUAGAGAAUACCAAGGCGCUUGAGAGAACUCGGGUGAAGGAACUAGGCAAAAUGGUGCCGUAACUUCGGGAGAAGGCACGCUGACACGUAGGUGAAGUGAUUUACUCACGGAGCUGAAGUCAGUCGAAGAUACCAGCUGGCUGCAACUGUUUAUUAAAAACACAGCACUGUGCAAACACGAAAGUGGACGUAUACGGUGUGACGCCUGCCCGGUGCCGGAAGGUUAAUUGAUGGGGUCAGCGCAAGCGAAGCUCCUGAUCGAAGCCCCGGUAAACGGCGGCCGUAACUAUAACGGUCCUAAGGUAGCGAAAUUCCUUGUCGGGUAAGUUCCGACCUGCACGAAUGGCGUAAUGAUGGCCAGGCUGUCUCCACCCGAGACUCAGUGAAAUUGAACUCGCUGUGAAGAUGCAGUGUACCCGCGGCAAGACGGAAAGACCCCGUGAACCUUUACUAUAGCUUGACACUGAACAUUGAGCCUUGAUGUGUAGGAUAGGUGGGAGGCUUUGAAGCGUGGACGCCAGUCUGCGUGGAGCCGACCUUGAAAUACCACCCUUUAAUGUUUGAUGUUCUAACGUGGACCCGUGAUCCGGGUUGCGGACAGUGUCUGGUGGGUAGUUUGACUGGGGCGGUCUCCUCCUAAAGAGUAACGGAGGAGCACGAAGGUUGGCUAAUCCUGGUCGGACAUCAGGAGGUUAGUGCAAUGGCAUAAGCCAGCUUGACUGCGAGCGUGACGGCGCGAGCAGGUGCGAAAGCAGGUCAUAGUGAUCCGGUGGUUCUGAAUGGAAGGGCCAUCGCUCAACGGAUAAAAGGUACUCCGGGGAUAACAGGCUGAUACCGCCCAAGAGUUCAUAUCGACGGCGGUGUUUGGCACCUCGAUGUCGGCUCAUCACAUCCUGGGGCUGAAGUAGGUCCCAAGGGUAUGGCUGUUCGCCAUUUAAAGUGGUACGCGAGCUGGGUUUAGAACGUCGUGAGACAGUUCGGUCCCUAUCUGCCGUGGGCGCUGGAGAACUGAGGGGGGCUGCUCCUAGUACGAGAGGACCGGAGUGGACGCAUCACUGGUGUUCGGGUUGUCAUGCCAAUGGCACUGCCCGGUAGCUAAAUGCGGAAGAGAUAAGUGCUGAAAGCAUCUAAGCACGAAACUUGCCCCGAGAUGAGUUCUCCCUGAGACUUAGAGUCUCCUGAAGGAACGUUGAAGACGACGACGUUGAUAGGCCGGGUGUGUAAGCGCAGCGAUGCGUUGAGCUAACCGGUACUAAUGAACCGUGAGG
rnacentral:rRNA from 1 species